GUACUUGGAUGGGUGACCCCCUGGGAAU
rnacentral:rRNA from 10 species